GAUGUUUUAAUGAUGGUAUGUUGAUAUAUUAUUAUAGCCUGACAUCUCCUCUACAAGAAAGAACCAUUAUAUCACACAAACCGGACCCAUAUCUCAAGUUAUGAGGCUUCAAAGUAGAGCCUAGCAACUGUUCUUCAUUUCUGGAAAACCCAGAAAUGAAGAAUAGUUCUGACAUGAUAUUCCAGAACCUAGAUCUCUCAUAUAUGAUAUGUUAUGGACAUGAAAUUGAUUAAUGAUAGCAGUAUUACACUUAUACUACAAUCUAAGCACUUUACUCUGGCCAGAAAACCCUUAGAUCUAAGAUCAAAUGUUG
rnacentral:lncRNA from 1 species